rnacentral:lncRNA from 1 species
AAAAGGCUUAGUAUCAUUGAUUCAUUUCGAUAUUUCUUGGUGCGUUUCCCUUCUCCGAAGCGUGCACAGCAUAUGGAUCCUGCGCGUGAGCCAGCACGGGUGCUACGGGGGAUCAAGAGGAUUGAUCAACUCGCCCAUGGAUUGAUGGACCCCAACAAGAUGAGCUACGAGGUGUCCAUGGAACCCACGGGGUGGGAGAUGCAGGACACCCACCUCGUUCUGAUGGAGGGCCAGAGCAUCGCCGGGGUGGUGCUGCGUACGACUGCGGAUCCCGGCGGCGCGGCGACGAGGACAGCCCUGGCGUGGGAGCUGGACGCUUUGCUGUUGCGCCUGGAAGCAAUGGUGGAAGGACGCUGCAGCGGCGGUGGGAUUGUGCUGGCCCUUCGCCUUUGGGAUGUCAUCUUUGAUCUCUUCUCGGCCCUCGUUCCUGUCUGA